AGCAUUAUUAUUAUCAUCAUCAUCAUUCAAGAACUGCAAAGUUUGACUGUAACUGCAUAAAAUAUGACAGACUAUGCACAGGCUCUGUACUCCCCCAAGAAUGUCUGUCCAGCUCACCAUGCACUACAUGACUGGAAAUCAUUACUUGACUUUGGAACUGCAGUGUAUCUUCACUUGGUCAUGGCAUAAUAAAGGCCUGUACAGCGAUAAUUGCACAUGAUCCCCUAUAAGUAUGUUUACUUCAAAGGACCUGCCCAUCACCACUUGGUAUGACGGAUAAUUACAGUACCUCCUUAGAAUGUUAAGUCAAAUGGGGAUACACAGUUGACUUCAUUUUACUCUGAUGCUGAAUGACCAUUUUUGAAUGAAGCUACACAUUAAACUGAGGCCAAAUAUU